UACGUAGGGUGCGAGCGUUAAUCGGAAUUACUGGGCGUAAAGCGUGCGCAGGCGGUUUUGUAAGCCAGAUGUGAAAUCCCCGGGCUCAACCUGGGAAUGGCAUUUGGGACUGCAAGGCUUGAGUGCGGCAGAGGAGACUGGAAUUCCUGGUGUAGCAGUGAAAUGCGUAGAUAUCAGGAGGAAUACCGAUGGCGAAGGCAGGUCUCUGGGCUGACACUGACGCUCAUGCACGAAAGCGUGGGUAGCAAACAGG
rnacentral:rRNA from 1 species